rnacentral:rRNA from 1 species
AGUGAACGCUGGCGGUAGGCCUAACACAUGCAAGUCGAACGGCAGCACAGUAAGAGCUUGCUCUUACGGGUGGCGAGUGGCGGACGGGUGAGGAAUACAUCGGAAUCUACUUUUUCGUGGGGGAUAACGUAGGGAAACUUACGCUAAUACCGCAUACGACCUACGGGUGAAAGCAGGGGAUCUUCGGACCUUGCGCGAUUGAAUGAGCCGAUGUCGGAUUAGCUAGUUGGCGGGGUAAAGGCCCACCAAGGCGACGAUCCGUAGCUGGUCUGAGAGGAUGAUCAGCCACACUGGAACUGAGACACGGUCCAGACUCCUACGGGAGGCAGCAGUGGGGAAUAUUGGACAAUGGGCGCAAGCCUGACCCAGCCAUACCGCGUGGGUGAAGAAGGCCUUCGGGUUGUAAAGCCCUUUUGUUGGGAAAGAAAAGCAGCAGGUUAAUACCCCGCUGUUCUGACGGUACCCAAAGAACAAGCACCGGCUAACUUCGUG